rnacentral:lncRNA from 1 species
AGGUGGGGUGAGCGAGCGAGAGAGCGAGAGAGCGUAGAAGAAUGCGGGAGAAGGUGCGUGUGCGGGCAGCAUGUGUCCUUGUGGGGGCGAAGGUGUGGUGAGAGCGAGUGGGGACGAGGAGGAGCGUGGCGGACUAGGUGGUGUGCAGGGGUGCGCCUGCGUUUGUCCGGCGCGUGAGCACAGGCAUCCUGGAGGCCCCUUGGUCUUUGUGUUGAUAGGGAACCCUUCGCGUCCAGGGACUUAAUUCACUCAAGCGUGGGAUCCCUGAGUUGCAGUCAAGUAAGAGAAAAGGGUCUGAGUCUCCCGUGACGCUGAUCUCUGGCGUUCUUUCCCCUUUUCGUAAAAAUGUAUUGUAAAUUUAUGAAUUUCCAGAGAUGUCUUUGCCAUCCUCCCCACCCCCAUUUCCCAGCGCUAACCAUCCAAGCUUGACUCUUGUCCCGGAGUCUGAGUUUUAGCCGGUAAAGUAUUCGGAAGCGUAAACUUUUUUUUUUUUGGCAAAUGCUCAGUGUUGAGGUCAAGGCUAUUUAAUGAGGUAAGCCGCGGUAUCUUUUAUCUGUGACUCUCUCGUAUCCUUCUGCAGAAAAGCGCCUAAGAAACGGUCAUAAAUAUCGAUAAAGUGCCAUAGUUUAGUUUCUGCCCUUGGAUUUGUCACGAAGUAUAAAGUGACUAAUCUAGCGUCAUUGUAGGCAUUCAGCAAAUGUUUCAGUUUGGAGUCGCUAUUGCUGGAUUAGUAUAUGGUAUUUACUUGCUUCCCCGCUCUGUGUUACUGAGCUGUUUCAGACAGGAAGUGAGAGAAGUUGAGCCUUGUUAGUGUGCAAGAGGAAACUAAGACUAUAGAAGAACUCACAUUAUCAGAGCUUCGUUUUUUGAUCCUGACACUCUUAGUUUUGGAUCGGAUGAUCGGAAAGAAUUGUUAAUGGACUUUUUCUAUGGGGGAUGCAGAAGAAGUUCUUUUGUUUCAUUUGUUUUAUUGGACUUUUAGAAGUUCCAAAUAGGUUCUUGAUUUGGUAUCAUCUCAAAUGCUUCAUAACAGGUUGGCUUUGAACUCUGAUCUUCCUGCCUCAAGUCUCUCCCAAGUGUUAAAGGUAUAGGUAUAUAAGUAGGCUGAGUUGGGGAUUUGAGAUGAACUGUUGAUAAAGAUUUUCUGUUUAAUGAUGUAAUCAUAGAAGGUAAUUGGAAAUAAGUGAGUAAAACUGAGCCUGGUGGCAGAGGUCUGUGAUCUCAGCUCCUCGGGCAUCAGAGGCCAGAGGAUGGAAGGUUUCAGGGGCAGUUUGUGAAACUUUGUGAGGCCUAAAUCUCAAAAUAGU